UGGCGGACGGGUGAGUAAUGUCUGGGAAACUGCCCGAUGGAGGGGGAUAACUACUGGAAACGGUAGCUAAUACCGCAUAACGUCUGCGGACCAAAGCGGGGGACCUCCGGGCCUCGCGCCAUCAGAUGAACCCAUAUGGGAUUAGCUAGUAGGUAAGGUAACGGCUUACCUAGGCGACGAUCCCUAGCUGGUCUGAGAGGAUGAUCAGCCACACUGGGACUGAGACACGGCCCAG
rnacentral:rRNA from 1 species